rnacentral:pre_miRNA from 1 species
UCUCCAUUUCACACAGUCUCUCAUCGGUCAGACAGCGCGAGAGACCGUGAGAAAUGAAGAGA